rnacentral:misc_RNA from 1 species
CAUUCUCUCACUGCUGCUGACAUUUGGGUUGGCGAUGGUGGCGGAGCAGGCGCUGCGCAUGAUCUUCGGCGCGCCGCCGCUGUCCUAUUCGAUCCCGCCGGAUUUGCGCGGGCAGGUGGCGAUCGGCUCCUUCAUCUAUUCGUUCUACCGCGUUGUUCUGCUCGGCAUCGCCGUCGCCUGCGUUGCAGGGUUGUGGUUCCUGCUGCGGAAAACCGCCUUCGGCCGCGUCGUGCGGGCGGGCGUCCAGAAUCCGGACAUGGUCG